UGCUCGAGUGACGAACGGGUGAGUAACACGUGAGUAACCUGCCCUUGACUUUGGGAUAACUUCAGGAAACUGGGGCUAAUACCGGAUAGGAGCUCCUGCUGCAUGGUGGGGGUUGGAAAGUUUCGGCGGUUGGGGAUGGACUCGCGGCUUAUCAGCUUGUUGGUGGGGUAGUGGCUUACCAAGGCUUUGACGGGUAGCCGGCCUGAGAGGGUGACCGGCCACAUUGGGACUGAGAUACGGCCCAG
rnacentral:rRNA from 1 species